AGUGGACGCUGGCGGUAGGCCUAACACAUGCAAGUCGAACGGCAGCACAGUAAGAGCUUGCUCUUACGGGUGGCGAGUGGCGGACGGGUGAGGAAUACAUCGGAAUCUACUUUUUCGUGGGGGAUAACGUAGGGAAACUUACGCUAAUACCGCGUACGACCUACGGGUGAAAGCAGGGGAUCUUCGGACCUUGCGCGAUUGAAUGAGCCGAUGUCGGAUUAGCUAGUUGGCGGGGUAAAGGCCCACCAAGGCGACGAUCCGUAGCUGGUCUGAGAGGAUGAUCAGCCACACUGGAACUGAGACACGGUCCAGACUCCUACGGGAGGCAGCAGUGGGGAAUAUUGGACAAUGGGCGCAAGCCUGAUCCAGCCAUACCGCGUGGGUGAAGAAGGCCUUCGGGUUGUAAAGCCCUUUUGUUGGGAAAGAAAAGCAGCAGGUUAAUACCCCGCUGUUCUGACGGUACCCAAAGAAUAAGCACCGGCUAACUUCGUG
rnacentral:rRNA from 1 species